rnacentral:piRNA from 1 species
UGACCUAGAACCGGAGAGACGGAUCCCGAG